ACAGCGUGAGGGCCGCCGUUGCUGGAGUUCAGCUUAGGGAAGGAGGACUCUGAGGAGGCCCCGAGCGGCGGAGCGCUUCGGGGGAGGCGCCCGCGCAGACGCGAGGCCCAUAGCCAGGACCACCACCUAGCUGUUCUACAGUCUGGGGACGACGGUUUAAAAAUUUAUGCCUUGCAUGCGAUGUGCAGUGGGUGAUGGAAGAACGUCUACAUGGCUUUAAAAUUGGAUUUAAAAGGCAAAUAUUUUAAAUGAAGGAAAACCCAAGAAGUUUACUUGAUUCCUUAUCUUCCAGGAUGCGACUUUUGUUUAUUUAUUUAUUUUAUUUUGAUGGAGUCUCGCUGCCGUCGCGCAGGCUGGAGUGCAGUGACGCGAUCUUGACCCGGGAACCUCCACCUCCCGGGUUCAAGCGAUUCUCCUUCCUCAACCACCCGAGUAGCUGGGAUUACAGGCGUGUGCCACCAUGCCCGGCUAAUUUUUGUGUUUUUAGUAGAGACCGGGGAAGGUAUGGGCCCUCUUUUGAGAAAAAUGCAGAGUGACACUGAAUUUUGUAACUACAUCAGGAGGCUCUUGAACCUUCUGCAGCUCACUCGUGGAGUUUGUAGAGAUGCGUAAUAAUCCGAAGUGUUAAGGAAGAAGGUUCUGUUGAGAAAAAGUUGGAGGGCUGAAAGGGAUGCCUUUCGCUAUUUCGACAUGUGUGGCUGUACCCCAGAGUGCCCUGGCUAACACGCAAAACCAUGAAUUAGGCGGCUUGGCGAGGCUCAGUGGAGGCUGGGGCCGAGAGUCAUGUCAAAGUUUGUGGGGUUAACCUGCACCCAGUGACAGUCAUGGCGAAGUUUGUGAGGUUAACUCGCACCCAGUAACGCUGUUCCAAUGCAAGGUGUGUAUUUGGUGUCAUCCACGGGAAGAGGAAACAGCAAAUUUUCUCAUGGCCUUGGCAGUUCCACAUGAUGGACAUUUCAUAUCUGCAGUUUUCUUCGCAUGAGAUGGCUUUUUUGCACAAAAACACUGGAAUCCAGUGAGCAAGAAUGAUAGAAUGCAAGAUGGAUUUCCACAUGAGGAAGUGUCACGAACAAGCGUUUUGCAUCUCUGUCAGCUGGAUUCCCCCAUGUGUACGUAUGUGAGAACAUGCCGUGUUUCCUGUCUGUAAUGGUAGAGGCAGCCCUGAUACUGGAUUUUCACCUGAGGAUGGAUAGAUCUUCAGGGUUCAAGUGGGUUUGCAUCUGGACUUUAGGGUGGCCCUGUAGGCCCUGUGUGAGAAGCCCCCUUCCCAGUGAACUUUCCCUUGUGUGCCCGCGUGGACAGCCAACAGGGGGAGCAGUGCGAGCGUGAAGGCAGACAGUGGCCUGGCCCAGUCUGAUGGUAAGUGGGCCAGAGGCAGUGAGUACCAUUUCUUGAUCUGACUACUCAAGACAGGCGCUUCCCUAGGUACUUUCACACCUCAUUGCGAGGUACGUGUUGUUCCCAUUUUACAGGUGCAGAAGCUGAGCUGCAGAGGCGUUAGGUACCUGCCUCAUAAGUGGUAGAGACUCCAGUGUCACCCUGCCCCUCACGUUCGGAGCCCCCGAGGGAGGGUCUGCCGGGCAGCUCAGCCCAGCACUCUGUAAGGAAAUCUUCAGUGCCACUGCCCAGGAUGUCUUCCCGGGGAUUGGGCCUGAAUGUCUUGACCAUGCCGUGCUGGAGGGAGAGACCCACCGACCCUGUGGGGCUGGUCCCUACAUCUGGCGCUCUGACGUGGGGCUCUCCCUCGCUGUGUGAAGUUGCACCCUGAGUGCGGGAUCAGCGGAGGAGUUCAACGAGAGAUUCCUGAGGAUUGCAGUCUAUAAACUUGGUGGUAAGCUUGAGCACUCAGUUUUCUGGGGACACCAUGGGACAGGCCAGUACAAAGUAUUUGGCUUAUUUAAAUUUUAUAAAAACUCUUCUUAAAGAAGGAGGUGUUAAAGUUUCUACUGAAAAGUUAAUUGAACUAUUUGAGGUUGUAGAUCUUCUUUGCCCUUGGUUUCCGACUGAGGGAACUCUAGAACUUAAAGAUUGGGUUGAGAUUGGCAAACAAUUCAAAAUUGCUCAUAAAGGGGGACAUUUUAUCCCACCCACCAUUUGGUCAAUCUGGGCUUCGGUUCACUCUGUCUUAGACUCCUUACAGACUCAGGAGGACAAUAUGGAGACUGAUCCCUCUUUCCUCUCCUCUGAGGGAGGUCGAGGAAGCGCUCAGCUCUCUUUCCCCUGAGGAUACUACACAAAUUGAGAACGUAAUUUCAAAGGAGGACUUCCACUCUGACAUGCCUGCACCACUUCCACCUACACCAGAGGCUACUGCACCCCCAUUGCCGCUUUAUGAUGAUCUUUUAACUGACCUAAAUAUACUAAUCUCCCCCAAUCAGCAAAACUCAGCUGAAACAUAUCAACAGCCAUUGCAGCCAGACCCUCCUGUCUCUCCUCACUGUUUCAACGCUGCCGCUGUGCAAAUAGCAGAUGAGACCAGGCAGCCUGUAAACGAGUCUAUAAAUUAUGUUUCUAUGCAGCCCGGUACAGAGGCUCCGCUAUAUGAACAGCUCAGAAAAGAGGCUUCCAAUUCUCGGCCCGGUAAUGAGGCCCUCAAUCCUAUUUCUCCUAAUCGGACUCAGUUAGAGUCACAGACUCCCUUGAAGCCCUUUCCUAUAAAUCAGACUCGAGUAGAGUCACAGUCUCCCUUGAAGCCUGGUUCCUUUCCUGCAAAUCGGACUCAGAGUCACAGGCUCCCUUGAAGCCUGGUCCCUUUCCUAUAAAUCAGACUUGGGUAGAGUCACAGGCUCCCUUGAAGCCUGGUUCCUUUCCUGCAAAUCGGACUCAGAGUCACAGACUCCCUUGAAGCCUGGUUCACACUUGCCGUGGCAGCCUGGUUUUCAGGCCCAUGAAAGACCUGCUCAGCAGGUAAUCUGCUGUCACCCUGGCUUUCAGUUUUUUGACUCUCCUUCUAUUCAAAAUUCUACCUCUUUUUCUGCUCCUGGUCCGGUCGCAACUGCUGUUGCCAAUACUACCAUUGCCGCUCAUAAGCAACAAAUUACAUACAUCCCUGAAGAUGACACUCCGCUUAUGAGGGCUAUAGUUCAAGCAAGGGAAUAUGGGGAUCCUGAAACUUGGCAAUUUCCUGUAAUUUUACAACCUCCAGUACCUGCCACCCCAGCAGUACAAAACCACCCACAGCCUGUUGUUGAUCCUGCCCAGCAGGCGGCUGACCCCGCAGCUCAACAAGAUCAAGAGGCUGAUAAUCAAGCCCCUCAGCCCGAAACUCAGGCUGCUCAGGUAAAUAAUCAGCCUCCGCAGUUGCCUGCUCCUGGGGCACAGCCAAUACCUGGCAUUCCCGCUGUUCAGGUGGUAAUUCAGCCUGACCCCAUCCAUCCAGGCCAGGUUCAGCUACGCCCUGCUACAUGGGAAAGUUUUUCUUUUAAAUUCCUCAAAGAUUUUAAAGAAUCAGUGAAACAAUAUGGCACCAACUCUCCUUUUGUCCGUUCCACAUUAAAAGCCUUAGGAGAAGAUAAACGUUUGGUACCCUAUGAUUGGGAAAUUUUGGCAAAAUCAAGUCUUAUCUAAAUCCCAAUAUUUACAGUUCAGGACUUGGUGGGUUGAUGCUGUCCAGGAACGCAUUUGUCUUAGGGCACUAAUCCUCCUGUUAACGUUAUGGCUGACCAGUUACUGGGAAUGGGUCAAUGGGCCGCAAUCCGACACCAAACUAUACUAAAUGAUGAGGUUAUUGAACAACUGCGAAAAUUGUUGCUUAGAUGCUUGGGACAAAAUUCAAGAUGAUGGUAAAGUAUGCCCAUCUUUCACAGCCGUCAGACAGGGACAACAUGAGCCCUACCCAGACUUUAUUACUCGUCUUCAAGACGCAGCAGAAAAGGCUAUUCCUGAUAGCCACGGCCAAAGACUUGUUGUAGAACUUAUGGCUUAUGAACAAGCAAAUCCAGAUGGUCAGGCGGCUGUUUGCCCCGCCAAAGGUAAAAUUCCACCGGGUGGUGAUAUACUCACCUCCUACAUUAAAGCCUGUGAAGGGGUGGGAGGAACUCUCCAUACAGCAACGAUUAUGGCACAAGCUAUGGCCUCUAUUCGAAUGCCUGGACAAUUCUCUGGCCAAUGCUUCAUAUGCGGCCAGAAGGGACAUGCAGAAAGAAAUUGCCCUCGGCGUGCAGGUGGCCGUCCUUUACAUCACCACCAACAACAAAAAGAAACUUUUCAGCAACAAGACACCCCACCUUCUGCUGUAUGCCCACGAAGCCAAAAGGGUCUUCACUGGGCAUCUCAAUGCCAUUCCAGAUUUGAUAUUGAUGGCAAUCCUGUACGGCCUUUUAAAAAUCAGGGAAACGGGAUGAGGGGCCGGCCCCAGCCCCCUCUAAACAAUGGGGCAUUCCUCAACUCUCAGCCGCUGGCGUCCAGCCAGACAGGAGCCUUCCCAGUUUAAUCCAUUCAACCUCCACCCCAAUUCCCACUUCAGCAAUUUGUGCCACAGGAUCUAAUGCCUCAGCCCCAACACCAAUCUCAGUACAAUGCUUGUCCCCCGUCACCACAGGCUCAGCAGCAGUAGAUCUCUGUUGUACCAGAAAUAUUUCUUUUGUUGCCUGGAGAGCCACGUAUUGCUGUUCCUACAGGUGUUUUUGGUCCCUUGCCGACUGGCAGUGUCGGGUUGCUACUGGGACGUUCAAGUUUAAAUUUAAAAGGUGUUCAAGUACAUACUGGUGUAAUUGAUUCUGACUAUUCAGGUAAAAUUCAUAUUAUCAUUAGCUCUGCAGUCCCUUGGAAUGCAGCAGCUGGGGACCGCAUUGCUCAACUCUUGAUAUUUCCUUACAUUCCUUUGGGAUCUAGUUCUAGUACAAGAAAGGGAGGUUUUGGUAGCACAGAUUAUCAAGGUAAAGCAGCCUACUGGGCCAGCAAAAUUUCUGACACUCGUCCUGUGUGCUCCGUGCAUAUUCAGGGAAAAAAGUUUGAGGGAAUGAUUGACACGGGCGCUGGUGUGUCCAUUAUCGCUUUACAUCGAUGGCCCCGACACUGGCCAAAGGAGCAUGCCUCCACAGCAUUCGUGGGUGUUGGUCAGGCUUCACAGGUAUAUGAAAGUUCCACAAUUUUACAUUGCACAGGCCUGAAGGACAGAUUGGAACUAUUCGCCCCCUCAUUACACCCAUUCCUGUUAAUUUGUGGGGAAGAGAUCUUUUAUAUCAAUGGGGGGCUCAGAUUACUUUUCCUAAAGGCAGUUACAGCCAGCAGAGUAAAGAUAUGAUGACCAAAAUGGGAUUUGUUCAAGGUCUGGGUUUAGAAAAAUCAGCACAAGGCAUCACUGAGCAUAUCAUACCUACUCCUAAAGCAGACUCUACAGGACUUGGUUAUUCUUUUUAGAAGUGGUCACUAUCAAGCCUCCAGAACCCAUCCCUUUGACCUGGAGAACUUAAAAACCUGUCUAGGUAGAUGAGUGGCUGCUCCCAAAAAAUAAGCUGGAGGCACUUCAUAUUUUGGUUCUUGAACAGUUAAAAUUGGGACACAUUGAACCUUCUUUUUCUCCUUGGAAUUCACCUGUUUUUGUUAUUCAAAAGAAAUCUGGUAAGUGGAGAAUGCUUACUGAUCUUAGGGCAGUAAAUGCUGUCCUUCAGCCUAUGGGGACAUUACAACCCAGUUUGCCCUCCCCCAGUAUGAUUACUGAGUAUUGGCCACUUAUCAUCAUUGACCUUAAAGAUUGCUUUUUUACCAUUCCUCUGGCCCCUCAGGACUUUGAAAAAUUUGCUUUCACUGUUCCAGCCCUUAACAACGUUGCUCCUGCAGCACGUUACCAUUGGAAAGUCCUACCUCAAGGUCUGCUCAAUAGCCCCACUAUUUGUCAAUAUUAUGUGGGAUGCAUAUUAAAGCCAGUUAGAGAUAAAUUUCCCCAAUGUUAUAUUAUUCAUUACACAGAUGAUAUUCUUUGUGCAGCACCUUCACGCUCUGUAUUAAUAUCUUGUUUUUCUGCAUUACAGCAAGUGGUCACAGCAGCUGGCUUGGUUAUCGCCCCAGAAAAAAUUCACACUUCAUCUCCUUAUCACUAUUUAGAGAUGCAGCUAGAGGAUAAGGUCAUUAAGCCUCAAAAAGUUCAACUCAGACGAGACUCUUUAAAAACUCUAAAUGAUUUCCAAAAAUUAUUUGGAGAUAUUAAUUGGAUUCGUCCCUCCCUACGCAUUCCUACUUAUGCUGUGUCUAAUCUUUUUGCAAUAUUACGGGGCAAUCCUGAUUUACGCAGUAAAAGGUCUUUGACUCCUGAGGCAGAUUCUAAAUUACGACUUAUAAAAAAAUGCAUUCAACAGUCUCAGGUUACCAGAGUAAAUCCACAUUUACCUUUUGAAGUACUAAUUUUUCCCACUGAACAUUCACCAACAGGACUCAUUAUUCAGGGACAUAAUUUAAUUGAAUUGUGUUUUCUCCCACACAGCUCUUUACGUACACUAACUAUCUAGAUCAAAUUUCUACCUUAAUUGGUCAGGCUCGUUCUCGUCUCCUUCGUCUUUCAGGAACAGAGCCUCAAAAAAUCGUUGUUCCCCUUACCCGAUUACAAGUUCAACAGGCUUUGCUACUUGCAUUGCUUGGCAAGUGCAUUUGGCACGUUUCCCAGGUAUAAUUGAUAAUCACUAUCCUCAUGUAAAAUUAUUUCAGUUCCUUAAACUCACGUCUUGGAUUUUACGUAACAUUACUAGAAACACCCCAUUACCUGAAGCUGUCACUGUUUUCACUGAUGCUUCCUCUAAUGGCCGAGCAGCAUAUACAGGACCCAGAGAACGUGUUCUUAACACAGGGGCUAUUUCAGCACAACGAGCUGAACUGCCUGCUGUUAUGGCUGUCCUUGAAGAUUUUCCUGAGCCAGUUAACAUUUUCUCUGACUCAGCGUAUGUCGUACAUGUUGCUCGCAACAUUGAAACUGCCUUAAUCAAAUUUCUGCCUGAUGAUAACCUAUUCCUUCUUUUUCAAAAGUUUCAGUCUGUGCUCAGAGCAAGGUCUUCUCCUUUCUACAGUACUCACAUUCGGGCCCACACACCCCUCCCCGGACCCCUCUCGGCAGCAAAUGCCAGAGCUGAUACAUUAGUUACUCCCGUUUUUACAGAUGCAGAAAAUUUUCAUGCUUUAACUCACGUCAAUGCUGCGGGACUCCGAAACAAGUUCCCCCUUACAUGGAAGCAAGCUAAAACUACUGUGCGUCACUGUCCUACUUGUCAAGUGUUAAUUUUACCACCACUGUCUUCAGGAGUUAACCCUAGAGGACUUUCACAGAAUGCUCUUUGGCAAAUGGAUGUGACUCAUUAUCCUCCUUUUGGCAAGCUUUCUUUUAUACAUGUAACUAUUGAUACCUUUUCUCAUUUUAUUUGGGCCACUUGUGAAACGGGCGAAAGUACAGCUCAUGGUAAACGACAUGUGCCUUCCUGUUUCUCGGUUAUGGGCUGUUCUGAGAAACUAAAAACUGAUAACGGCCCCGCCUACACUAGUGCUGCUUUUAAAAAGUUUCCUCAGACAUGGGCAAUUACUCACACAACGGGCAUUCCCUAUAACUCUGGAGAACAGGCCUUGGUUGAACGAGCCAAUAAAACACUCAAAGAUCAACUUCGUAAACAGGAUACUAAAUCAAAGGGAGAUGCUAUUACUCCUCAUGCCCAAUUAAAUCUGGCUCUUUUCACACUAAAUUUCUUAAACUUAACAAGAAAUCAACCUUUCACAGCCGCAGAACAACAUUUCACUGGAAAUAAAUUUGAUCCACAAAAAGGAAUGCGGGUAUGGUGGAAGGACGUAAAAACUAACACAUGGGAAUUAGGCACGGUCAUAACUUGGGGUAGGGGUUUUGUUUGUGUUUCCCCAGGAAAAGAACUACAGCCUGUGUGGGUCCCCUCCCGACAAUUAAAAUUGCACCAUAACUCCAAAGAUGAAACGCUCCCAGAAAGAAAAGGCAAAGACCCAUCGGAAACAAAAGAGCAACUUUCACCGCCUGAUACAUACACUUCAUGACAUCCACAUUGAGACAAAAUCUCGCCGUGUGACCUACAACACCUCUCGUUCAACCCCACCUACUUGGGGUCGAAUACAGAUUUUAUCUCAUCAAACAGAAAAAUUCUUAACAGAAAAAGGAAUCCCAAAAAUGACUGGUAAUAUAAUUCUGGCUGCCUUUAUGGUAGUCAGUGCAGCGUCUGCAGAUGCCUCUAAGGAGUCCGAAACCAAGUCCGAAGUCAACAACAAGCAAUGAUGGCGAUGGCGAUUCUAGUUAAUAAAAAGGGGGGAGAUGUGGGCGGCAAGCCACCCAGGCACCGAGGCAAGAGACAGAGGACACGAGCUGUUCCAGUAUAAUAAAAUAUAAAACAAGAAUAGUUAUACCAGAUAUAGAUCUUAGAUAUGAUUAUAUACGAAUAUCAUUAAUCAUGAGUUUGUAGCAAUUACUUUUUAUUCCAAUAUUAUGAUAAUCCUCGCUCUAUAAUCAUAGCCUAGGAAAAACCAGGCCAUACAGAGAUAGGAGCUGAGGGGACAUAGUGAAGUGUGACCAGAAGACAAGAGUGCGAGCCUUCUGUUAUGCCCGGACAGGGCCACCAGAGGGCUCCUUGGUCUAGCGGUGACGCCAGCGUCUGGGAAGACACCCGUUACCAGGCGGAUCGUGGCCCAGCCGUAGCAAAAGGUGUCAAGGAACACCUUUUGCAAAAGGUGUCAACACCCGCUACUUAGCAGACUGGGAAAGGGGGGCGGUCUCCCUUUCCCCGGGGGAGUUUAGAGAAGACUCUGUUCCUCCACCUCUUGUGGAGGGCCUGACAUCAGUCAGGCUUGCCCGUAGUUAUCCGGAGGCCUAACUGUCUCCCUGUGAUGCUGUGCUUCAGUGGUCACGCUCCUAGUCUGCCUUCAUUUUCCAUCCUGUACACCUGGCUCUGCCUUCUAGAUAGCAGUAGUAAAUUAGUGAAAAUACUAAUAGUCCCUGAUAUGCAGAAAUAAUGGCAUAAGCUGUCUUUCUCUCUGUCUCCUCUCCCUCUCUGCCUCGGCUGCCAGGCAGGGAAGGGCCCCCUGUCCAGUGGACACAUGACCCAUGUGACCUUACCUAUCAUUGGAGGUGACUCACAUUCUUUACCCUGCCCCUUCUGCCUUGUAUCCAAUAACAGCGCAGUCAGACAUUCAGGGCCACUACCGGUCUCCGCACAUUGGUGGUAGUGGUCCCCCGGGCCCAGCUGCCUUUUCUCUUAUCUCGUUGUCUUGUGUCUUUAUUUCUACACUCUCUCAUCGCCACACACAGGGAGAGACCCACCGACCCUGUGGGGCUGGUCCCUACAAGAGGGAAGUGGUUUGUUCUGCUCUUCUGAGAUGUGUUCUUAUGAGAAGGAUCCAGCAGCAGCCUGCAGAGAUGUGGGGCCUGAAAAGAGGCCUUGGGCAGCUCUUCUCAACAGGUCUUGGCCCUCUAGACUGCCUUCAGCACAGUUUUGGGGAGAAACAGGGAGUGUUCCUUUUUCAAUCUAUGCGCUCAUCCCCUGAGCCGCCUGACCCAGGGUUUAGAUGCUCCAGGGCAGCUGAUUGACACCGGUGGGAGAUGGAGUCUGGCAAGCAGGUGAUGAACUGGGAAGCGCUGCAGAAAUGAGGGGGCAAGCGUGGCCAGUCCCUUCUGAGAGGAUGUGUUUGGAAGAGAGUGGGCACUGGCGUGGCACUUUCCCCUUCUGUGGAAAUGGACUUGGACAGGAUGCCACGUAGUGCUGCAGUUCUGUGUGGGGCAGGUUGUGGCUGCAGAGAAGCACUGGGUGCAGAAACAGUCCCCCAAGCAGGUGCGAGGGUCAGGGUGCUCUAUGCUGCUCCACACCUGCCGUGCGAUGACAUGUGGUCACCGGGCUGCCCAGCACAGUUGUUUAGAAAGCAGGUUCAAAGGGCAGUGUGCUGGGAGGAAGUGCUGCUGUGGAAACUGCAAGUUUUGGACAUGAGUUGCUCAGGUCUUUUCAGCCGUUCAUUCUUCUACAACAGAAUUGCAUUAUUCACUUGCUCAGUGUGAUACCAUGUCCUUUAAAAAAUUAUUUGAAUAUUGAGAACAGGUUGUAUGUUCCGUCUCUAGCUGCUAGAUCACAGGCAGGGCACAUCUUCUCAAAGAGUAACAAGGCAUGGGUUGUGUGUGUUCUCUUCUCUUAGUGAGGAGAAAGGCCUGUUUGGGUUCAUGAUGAUUGUUGGGGUCUCUUUUCUGUACCUGAUGUUGGUUGCACAAAGUCCGUUUCCAUUCUCUUAGUCUAGACAAUUUUCCUGAUAUUUAAACUGGAAUUUUUGCUCCAAGAAAUUCCAGGUCAUUUAGAAUGUGUUAAGAUUGAGUUUCUGGGCUACACAUCCUUAUAAGAGCACCCGAUUCUGGUUUCUGUUUAUUUAUUUAUUUUUUCGAGACAGUCUCGUUCUGUCACGCAGGCUGGAGUACAGUGGCAUGAUUUUGGCUCACUGCAACCUCUGCCUCAUGGGUUCAAGUGAUUCUCGUGCUUCAGGCUCCCAAGUAGCUGGGAUUACAGGUGCGCACCACCUACAUUAUUUAUUUAUUUAAUUUAUUUAUUGAGAUGAGGUCUCACUAUGUUGCCCAGGCUACUCAAACUUCUGGUCUCAAGGGAUCCUCCCGCCUCGGCCUCCCAAAGUGCUGGGAUUACAGGCAUGAGCCACCGCACACAGCCUGAUUUCUGUUUAAAGAGUUGGAUUAUACAGGGACCCACAGAAUUGGGAACUGACAGUACUGUAGAGCCUGUGUAUGAAAAAGAUGGACAAGCCUGACAUUAGCAGCUCACUGUUGAGCACACGGCCCCCUGCAGAAUAAACAAGUGUGUGGUUUCCAUCUGAUGAAGGUGGGCAUGUAGUUCCUGGACAGUCCAGUGACUUCCAUCAUUCCACAGACAAGAUCAGAUGCCCUCUCUACCAGCCACCGUGCUGGGACCGGCCCAAUCUGUGUUUCAAAUCAGCUUGUAGCACGCAGGGAUUCAAAAUAUUUAAAGAUGAGGUUUGAAGGUACGUCUGGAGACCAAGGACGUUAGUUCUGGAGGUCCCCGUCUCCUGCGUGUUUGCGGAGCUGGUGACAGUGCCCUCUCCCCGUGCUGGAGAGGGCUGAGGAGAGGCUGUGUGUCUCAGCAGGAUGCCAGUCAGGAUUCUUCUGGCUAUGGGCUUAUUUUUUGCAAUAAAUUCAUCGUUAAAGUCCCAUUCUUUAACCUGUUUUUUCCCUUUUGGAAUUAAUUCGACUGCAGUAGGAAGGGGUUGUAGCUGAAAGUGACCGCUGUGCAUUGAAUGCCAUCAGAAAAGGCUGAUGAGAUUUGCAGGGAAGACUUGAAGCCUCACUGAAAUGCGCCUGGCGUGUGUUGACCUUUGCAGUGGAACAUGUGGGAAAGGGGCCCGCACUCACUUUUCAGUUCUGCCUCGGUGAUUCCAGGAGCCCCGGGGUUGGGAGCGGGGACAGGACCUUGCUCCUGAGUCUUAGGUGUGGUGUCUCUCGCCCCUUGCUGCAUUGGCGGGACCCUCGGUGCCGCGGCCUCAGUUGCAGGGCGGCCAGGGCUGCUCCGUGAAGGAGGCGCUCACUCCAUGGAGCUGCAGGACGCUGCAUUCUCCUCACUCUGGCCAUUGCCGCUGUCCUUCCUGCUUCCCCUUUUCUGGUGAGGGAGGGCUCCAAGGACUUGCUGGCUGGUCCCCAGAUGCCAGCACUCCUGCAUCUUCCCCUCCUCUCCUGGCCUGUCACUUUGUUCCUCCUCUGUGAGGGGCCCAGGCUCGGAUGCCCGGCCACGGCCUCUCUUUCCAGCCUGUGCGGCCCAGGUGGGUCCAGGAUGUUCCCUGCUGCCCUGUUCUCAGCAGUUCUUGUCUUCUUCAGGCUUUUCCUCCUUGCCUAGAGAAAUUUCCCUACAUGGAAACCCCUGUGGCUGUACAGUCUUUUCUGACCAAUCUGCUGGGUUUUUUGUUUUUUGUUUUUGAGACAGAAUCUUGCUCUGUCGCCCAGGCUGGAGUGCAUUGCAGUGAAAGUGGCAAUAUCUGGCAUUUGUAGAUGGAAGCUGGAACUCAGUACAGGUGGGAACGUAAGCGCCUGUCGUUGCUGAGGUGGGGCAGCAGUCAGUUGCCAGCGCGUGUUCAAACACAGGCUGAUUCAACAGUUCCCGUUCUGGGAAUUUAAGAUCGGAAAAUAAUUAAAGUGUAUGCAAAGAUUUUGCUACUAGAAUAUUUGUCACAGCUUUGAAAUAGGGGAGAACUGGAAAUAUCUUGAAUUUCCCUCAGGCAGAGAUAGGUAGAAACAUUGUGGUGAAGUCUGUGUCGUCCCUCAGGAUCUGUGGGAAAUUGGUCCCAGGACCUCUCUCAGAUACCAGAGUCGGAGGGUGCUGAAGCCCUUGCUCUGAAGUGGUAUAGUGUUUGCAUAUAAUCUGUGCACACCCUCCUGUGUACUCUGUCAUCACCAGAUUACAUAUAAUGCCUAAUGUAAUGUAAAUGCUAUGUAAAUAGUUGCUUUACUAUAUUCUUUAGGGAAUAAUGACAAGAAAAAAAGUCUGUGCAUGUUCAGUACAGAUGCAAUUUCUUGUUUUUCUAAUAUUUUCUAUCCACUGUUGGUUGAAUCCAUGCAUGUGGAGUCAACCUAUGGAUGGGGAUGGCAGACUGUACUCUCCUGACAGGUGGUUACAAAGUAUUUCUAUCUGAAAAGAGCUGGCUGCAAAGCAGCAUGCCCAGUAUAACUUUCCUCAGGCCCAGGGAAAAGCUUGGAGGGAGGUUCCCACAGAAACAUUAGCAGUGGUUUCCUGGGCCAGUGGGAUAAGGACCAGGCAUUGUGCUAGCAGUGGAGAAACAGUGGUGAAUAAGGUAGGUCUGGCUCUGUCUCCUGGAGCUUACUGGACUGAAGAUGAACCUUUCUCCACUAAUUUUUAUUCUGAAAAAUUUCAAAACUAAAGAAGAGUUGAACGCAUAGUACAAUGAAUAUCCCUAGCCUUUCACCUGGAUUCUACCAGUUGUUAACCUUUUCCAUAUUUGCUUGUAUAUGUUACCCUCUCACCUCCCCAAAUUUUUUUCUAUUAUUUUUAUUAUUUGAAAGUAAGUCACACACAUGAUAGCAUUUCACCCCAGAAUCCUUCUCCAGGUGCCUUCUGAGCUCAGAAGCUGUCUCCUCUACAACCUCAUCAUUAUCACAUCCGAGAUAGAAUUAACAUUGCAUUUUCUUUUUUUUUUUUUUUUUGUUUUUUUGAGAUGGAAUCUCAUGCUGUUGCCCAGGCUGGAGUGCAGUACUUUGAUUUUGGCUCAUUGAAACCUCCACCUCCUGGGUUCAAGUGAUUCACCUGCCUCAGCCUCCCAAGUGGCUGGGACUACAAGUGUGUACCACCGUGCCUGGCUAAUUUUUGUAUUUUUAGUAGAGAUGGAGUUUUAUCAUAACAUGGCAUUUUCUAAUGCAAAGGUGACAUGCAGCCUUCCUCAGUGGUCCCCAGUCCUCCUCAAAGUCCUUUAUAGAGACAGUUUUACUCUGUUGCCCAAACUGGAAUGCAGUGGUGUGAUCAUAGCUCACUGCAGCCUUGAACUCCCCUGGGCUCAAGCCAUCCCCCAGCCUUAGCCUCCUGAGUUGCUGGGACUACAGGCCUGUGCCGCCACACCUAGCUAAUCUUUUUUUUUUUUUUUUUUGAGAUGGAGUCUCAAACUUGUCACCCAGCCUGGAGUGCAGUGGCACGAUCUUGGCUCACUGCAACAUCCGCCUCCCAGUUUCACGCCAUUCUCCUGCCUCAGCCUCCUGAGUAGCUGAGAUUACAGGCAUGCGUCACCAUGCCUGGCUAAUUUUGUAUUUUUAGUAGAGACGCGUUUCCACCAUAUUGGCCAGGCUGGUCUUGAACUCCUGACCUCGUGAUCCAGCCUCCUUGGCCUCCUAAAGUGCUGGGAUUACAGGCGUGAGCCACUGCACCCAGCCUAAUUUUUGUAUUUUUAGUAGAGGCAGGGUUUCACCAUGUUGGUCACGCUGGUGUUGAACUCCUGACCUCACAUGAUCCACCCAACUUGGCCUCCCAAAGUGCUGGGAUUAGAGGCAUGAGCCACCAUGCCCAAUCUCUGCACCAUGCCCAGUAUCCCUUAGUGGCCCUUCUGACUUUACACUGCUUUUCCCUCCUGACAGCGGGGCCCUGCUUUCGUGGUCUGUAUCCUGCUUGAGCAAGGUGCCAUGAGGCUUUUCCUAGGCCUUGACUUUGCUGUAGCUUCUAAGGUGUCCUGUGGCGGCAAAAGGGACGUGUGCUCUGUGGGUGGGUGCAGCCACCUGUAGAGCUGCAGCUAUAUCCCCAGGAUGGUUGUGUGACUGAUGGUCCUUGGGGAGCCCAGCAGUGAGGAUCUCAGCAGCCCACCUGUCUCAGAGUCCCCGCUGUGCACCCAGGCCCAGGGCUCAGUGAGUGAGAGCUCUCCGACCUCGGUGGGGGCGGGGCUAAUUGACCUUCAGACCCACCGUGUGCCAGUGCUGGCUGGCACACAGCACUGCUUGGACUUCCCCUGUGGGAAAGGAUGGGGACAGAUCAGUCUUUGGAAGAAUGGAGCGCUGGCUUUGCUCAGCCCUGUUCUUGGGAAGGUUUGAUCUGGAGAGCCGCAGCAGCCAGACCCUGGGGAGGCAGGUUAGUGAGCAGGCUCCCAACUUACGAGCUAGGAAGGCUGACGGCUGUUCAUUUCCCCCCAUGUGGACCUCAUCGGGGGUCCUUCCUGAGGGCGAGCGCUAGGUUCGUCUGCGUUUCUCUCUCCCAGUUGGGCCUGACUCUGGACGCCAGGCUGAGGGAGUACACAGCUCCUUCAGAGCACGGGCUCAGACGCUCAGAUGCUCGGAGCGCUUCCGGCUGCUUUUCCAUGGGUAACUCACAUGUUCUUCCUGCAGGCUGGCAUUUGUCUUUCAUGGCUUUUUUCCAUCGGUCAGAAUUACAGUCUUUUGAUUGUAUGUACGUACCUGGUUAUUAUCAGAUAUCUAGUUUAAAAUGUGCAUCUGAAUAUAGAUUUUCUUGGUGAACGCAUUGCGUUCUCAUUCCGUAAAAAGUCGGAAGCUCAAAAUGAUGCUUAAAAAAAAAUCUUAGCAAGCUCUCCUGUGCAGAUGCUGCUGGCGCUGAGCUUUGUGCCUGGGGCAGAAAGGGUGAGGACGGCCCCGGUUGGUUUAGGAAAAGUGGUUAUGAACAGAACGGGCCCCAUGCUCCUGGCCUGAGGAAAUGUUGUGUGAAAAAGAUGGCUUCUACAGCUUGAAGGGGGACGGUCCACCUGAUGCUCCUGUCCCUCUCUGAGCCCCAGGGGCAGAAGGGAAACAGUCAAUAGCACGGCCGUUGCAGAUGGUGCCCAUAGAGGGAGGGUAGUUAGUGUCUGAGCAGGAGAGGGUGACCGGCCUUUGUGGGGCUGCUUCAGAGAGCCGGGCAGAGUCUGGGCCCCAACGUGGACUAGCAGGGGAGGAGCUCUCCUGGCUGGGGUGGCGACUCGGGGAGGUCUGGGUUGCCUGAGCAGGGAAUCGGCCUCCAGUGGGGGAGGUUCUGAGUGGGACGCGCUCUUCGUGUGGGCCUGGAGGACCUCUAGGCGGCCUGCACUCGCCUGAUACAGCUGGCUUCUGCUGGGAGGCUGGGUUUGCAUCCAAACUCUGAGACCUUUUGGACAAAACAUGCCAAAGAAGUUGGUGGUAGUAAGAAAUUCAUACUAAACUUGUUCUGUUAGGGUUUUUUUCCUUCCAGGUAUAUUAUUUCCCUUCAGUAGCCCUACAUUUUAAAAGUUAACGUUCAGCGUUGAGUCAGGGUCAGGUUUUGAAUGACACAGGAUGUUUUCAGAUCCUGAGUUUACCUGAAGCUCUCAAAGUAGCCUCCUAACAAAAAUUAUUGAAAACAUCAACUAUUUUGGAAUACUUUUAGGUAUGUAGAAAAAUUGCAGACGACACAGAAUUUCCAUAAUUUCCCCCAGCCAGCUUCCCCUAAUGCCAUGACAUGACCGUGAUACCUCUGUCACUCUGUCGAAACUGAGGUGUUCGCGCUGGCACCACACUACUCACCGAGCGACAGGCCUGUUUUGGAUUUUAUCAGUUUUCCUCCUGAUGUCCUUGCUGUCCCAGGACCCCGCCCCGGUGCCACAUCGCAUCGCGUUGUCCUGUCUCAUUCGCCCCCUCUGGUGUAGGAUAGCUGCCGUCCUUCCUUGUUUGUCAUCAGCUUGGUACUUUUGAGGAGUCCUGGUCAGGUAUUUUGCAGAAUGUGCCUUCAUUUGGGUUUGUUUGAUGUCUUGUGGUUGGACAGGUUGUGGGGUUAGGAAGAAUCCCACAGAGAUGAGGUGCCCUUAGUGCGUCGUAUUGGGGUACAGGACAUCCACGUGACUCAUCGCUGGUGACGUUCAACAAAAUUACUUACAAAACUUUUAAAAAAUUAUUAUUGUUUGCUUUAGAGAUGAGCUCUCGCUCUGUCAUCCAGGCUGGAGUGCAGUGGUGGGAUCAUAGCUCACUGCAGUCUCCAACUCCUGGGCUCAAGCGACCCCCCCACCUCAGCCUCCUGAGUAGCUGGGGCUACAGGUACGUGCCACUGUGUCUGGCAAAAUUAGUUUUACUUUACCAAAAGGAAGCACAUAGGCCUGCUCUGCUCUCUGCUACUUGGGGGUUUUGUGUCAUAGAUUGUAGGACACUGGUGGUAAUUUAAUUUCAGAAGGGACCUUCUUGCUCACCCAGUUGGAUCCUUCCAGUUUCUAGAUGAAGACACUUGGGACCUGGAGGCCUUCUGACUUUUGGGUCAGAGCUGGCAUGGAGUCCAGGCACCUGCUUUCUGCAGGCAUGCAUGCUCCUGGGACACUCUGCAGGGACAGAGCCAUCCCCAGCAAGGCAGACUGACAGGGCUGGUUUCCAGUCGGGUGGGGCCGCAUCCCUCCAGGGGAUGUGAGGCAGGUUUGAGAUGAGUCUGCUCCCCUUCUGCCUGCUGCUCCUGUCUUUUUUUUUCUUUUUCUUUUUCUUUUCUUUUUUUUUUUUUGAGACGGAGUCUCGCUCUGUUUCCAAGGCUGGAGUGCAGUGGCGCGAUCUCAGCUCACUGCAACCUCUGCCUCCCAGGUUCAAGUGGUACUCCUGCCUCAGCCUCCCAAGUAGCUGAGACUACAGGCAUGCGCCCCCACACCUGGCUUAUUUUGCGUUUUUAGUAGAGACAGGGUUUCUCCAUGUUGGUCAGGCUGGUCUCCAAUUCCUGACCUCAGGUGAUCCUCCCAAAGUGCUGGGAUCACAGGCGUGAGCCACCGCAACUGGCCUAGGAGUAACUUCUUAAUGAAUAUUUUAAUAAUAUAAAUCUUAGUCUGAAUUUCUGACUGUGUCGCCUAGAUGCCAUGUAGGGGAAUGGGCAGGUCAGAGGGUGUGGCCUGCGCUGUGGCGAGGCACUGAGGAUUAGGUGCUGCAGUUUUCCUCCGGCCCCUCCUGGUUCCCUGGUGAACACACAUCAGCCUCAGAUGGGCGACCCCCUACUCAUGGGAGGGCUGGGAGUGUGGGCCUUGUAGUUGGAUUCUGCUUCAGAAUUGCGUGUGACCUCACUGUGGAGUGUUUGACUGGACAAAAGCCUGCUGUAUACUCAGUGUCCCCAUCUGUAGAAAGGAUGCCGAUGGUACCCACCCCCAGAGUUGUUUUGAGGACUAACCACGAUAAUACAUGUAAAAUGCUCAGAAGAAUGUGUGGCAAACAGCAAGCACUUAAUAAAUUUUUUUUUUAGUAGAGAAAAAUGGCAUUUUAUUUAUUUUAAACAACAGCAUUUAAAGUUAUACCUAUAAGGGGCACACAGAAGAUAUAUGGAGAGUUUAAAGAAUGAAAAUAAACUCACACGUGCCCACCACCCUACUUGAAAAACAGGAUUUUACCAGAAGGCUCGAGUGGCCCUCCAGAUUGUAGUUUCUGGCCCCUCCCGUUCAGAGGUAACUGGCAUCCUGGUUUUCAUGUUGAUCAGUGGUGUUUAAAGUACACCUGUAGGAAGUUCCAAAGUGCAGGAAGGGAACAAAGCCUCCUUGCAGAGAAAUCUUGUACUUUGGUGUUUCAUCAUCUGUUUGUGUGACAAAUAUACAACGUUAAUGUUGAAGAUGUGGGUUAGUGAAAUUGAGACCUGGCGCUUCCUGAGGCUGGCAGCCCGGUUGAGCCUGAGGACCAGACUUGAGGCAGUUGGCAGUCCGCGCCUCGUUGCCCUCUGUCUGCCCUGGGUAAGUGAGAGGCUCCUUGGGAGGCCAGUGGAGAUGGCUGUGGGAGGACAGAUUGAGUAGCUGUCCUUGGAGCUGCUCCUCCCUCCCUUCGUGGAGAAAUAGAAACAGCUUUCCUCCGGCCCUCACCUGUUGCCAGGGCUCCACGCUGGUGGGGGCGAGCUGCGUUUUGCUGAGUUGCACCGUGGGAGAGCGUUGGUGACCACUUGCCUGCUGUGGGCCAGCUCCCCGUGGCCAAGGACCAGCGUGGGCAGGGCCUUCGGGCACGGGUUGCUGGUACGAGCACACCGAGAAUCCCCUCCGCCAUAGGGCCUGCCCUGUGAGCUGCCCACCAGAUUCCACGGAGUGCUUCACACUCCUGUCUGGUGUGGGUCCCGCAGCCCUUGUGGGUGGGCCCAUGUCAUUAGCCUCAUUUUAGAGAAGAGUCUUGAUGGGUCGGAGAGCGGUGGCUUACCCACAGGUAAGCUGUAAAUCUGGAACUCAACUGGGGCAUUGGUUUUGCUAGUCCACCACAGUUGUCCUUGGUGGUGGCAGCCUGAGGGGUAGGGGAAGGUGGCGGCUGUCCCUCCCUAACACCCCCUUCCUCCACCUGGUUUUCUGUGCUGGGCCUAGCUUUGUGGAGUUUUCUGAGGUGAGAGGAGGUUUUUACCAGAAUGCUCUUUGCCAGUGAGCACAGCUGACCUGAGGGCAGGAUCCCUUUGGAGAUGAGCUAGGUGGAUUGUGGCAGCCUCCCACAACUUUGGUCCGGGGGCCUGGAGAGAGCAGUUCCUGCUUGCCGCGUGUGAGAGUGUGCGGGCGCUGGCUCUACCUGUCGCACUGCAUUCCCAGGCUCCAGAGCACACACUGCCAUUUAAAG
rnacentral:lncRNA from 1 species